rnacentral:tRNA from 1 species
GGGCCUGUAGCUCAGCGGUGAGAGCAGCGGACUCAUAAUCCGUUGGUCGGGGGUUCGAAUCCCUCCGGGCCCACCC